rnacentral:rRNA from 1 species
CCUACGGGAGGCAGCAGUGAGGAAUAUUGGUCAAUGGCCGCAAGGCUGAACCAGCCAAGUCGCGUGAGGGAUGGCGGUCCUAUGGAUUGUAAACCUCUGUUGUCAGGGAGCAAAGGGCGCCACGUGUGGCGCUUUACGAGUACCUGAAGAAAAAGCAUCGGCAAACUCCGUGCAAGCAGACGCGGUAAUACGGAGGAUGCGAGCGUUAGCCGGAUGUAUUGGGUGUAAGGGGUGCGCAGGCGGAAUGUCAAGUCAGUGGUAAAAUUUCGGGGCUCAACCCCGUCGUGCUGUUGAAACUGGCGUUCUUGAGUGAGCGAGAAGUAUGCGGAAUGCGUGGUGUAGCAGUGAAAUGCAUAGAUAUCACGAAGAACACUGAUGGCGAAGGCAGCAUCCCGGCGCUCAACUGACGCUCAUGCACGAAAGCGUGGGUAUCGAACAGGAUUAGAUACCCCUGUAGUC